rnacentral:lncRNA from 1 species
GUAGCGAGUGGUUAAUUACUUAUGAUAUUUGGCAAAAGAAAGGCACAAGAAAACAAGCACAUGCAGUUGCAGCUCUUGCUUCAUUCCCCUAGAAUAUCAUCGACGGGUUUGCAUGCUUGAUCCCAGGCUCGAAGCCCAAGCUACCCCCACCUGUAACCAUGAAGGCAACAAUGGCUCAUAUCCGUAUUGGUGAAAACCGCAUGCGUGUCAAUAAAAAAUGCUAUAAGACAACAUAAUUUACCGUGAAUGUAAAUUGUCAACAUCAUCCUGAGUAAGUGAGGGCAGGAUAAACUUGCAUCAGUAGGUACAAUAUAUACUAUCAUAAUGAAAAGUGGUACAUGUAAUUCUCUAUUACAAAAAAUAACAUUAUGCAUUAUGCAUGAAGAUGUCGCUGGAUCCUUAGUACGCCUUGCCCAUCAGGCCAUCAACACAUCGAGCACAGGUAGACAUAGAAGCAUCGGUCAAGUCAUAGGGCUUAAGAGGAAAACGUGCCUGCACAUGAAGCAUUAUCAUUAACUGGGAAUGAAGGGUUCUACUUUCAAGUGUUUGUGAAGAACAUGGUGUAGAAGUCAUUGCCCAGGAUCACCGCCACACUUUCAUCUCAACAUCAAUACACUUCCAGUACCACUAAGGGAAAAUAGAGUUAAAAUUCAGUUCAGAACGAAAAUAGAAACAACCGUGGUCAAGAUGCAUAAUCCUUGUUCAAAUCAAACUGAUAGUCACCAAGUGCUAUAUAUUUUGGCUCCCUCCCAGAUCAAAUUAAUUUACAAUUAUGGAGGAUUGUUCUCAACAAAGUAAUCGACAAAGAAGUGAUCGCCAAUUGCACUGUCUACUUAUAUCUUUAUGAAAGCAAAUGCAAGUGGAAACUACCAAGGUUCGGUAAAUAAGGAUUGACCAGUAGCUCUUUUUUAAACUGGAAGGUACAAAGUCUUACUUCUCACCACACGGAGUGGAGACCACAUCUUGUCAUUCUAUUGAGGCGAUACAUCUCUGAUCUCCAGAUUUCAUCUCAUUGAGAUUUUCAUUCCCUCCAUUCAAGUGCAUAUACAUUCCGUUAAAACAAACUUUAUUCAGGACCAAGUGUUCCCAUGUAGCUUUAUGUCCAUGUUUCCUCUAAAGUUAAAUGUAUGAGAAACAAUCAUCAAGAAGAUAAAGGAAAAAUACAUGGUUUCUCACUGCAAAAAUAUCUUGGUUCCUGGUAAGGCCCUUCACAGAAAUGAAAAGAAAAACAAUAUCACAAAGACUUCUUUUCACCUCUACAAGAGAAAUUCUCAGGAGUAUGUAUCUUAGUUCUCUACCAUCGUUGGUCAAGUCACCAUACAAAGAUAACAGGUGAGAACAAACAAAAUUGAAUGCUAAGAAAGGGCGGGAGUUUUUCAUACAAAUAAAUAUGUAUAAACGUUAUUAAGCACAGCUUACAGCAAUCAAAAAUUAUGGUCGGCCAUGCAAUUUUAUUUUUUCUAAAUAGGGAUGGAUGCAAGGAUCAAAGUUUUAAUCUUACAUGUCAUGCAGUCCAAGGGAGAAGUUGCUUCUGCCACC